rnacentral:rRNA from 1 species
UACAGAGGGUGCAAACGUUGUUCGGAAUUACUGGGCGUAAAGCGCGUGCAGGCGGCCUUGCAAGUCGGACGUGAAAUCCCACGGCUCAACCGUGGAAGUGCAUUCGAAACUGCGAGGCUGGAGUCCUGGAGAGGAAAGUGGAAUACUCGGUGUAGAGGUGAAAUUCGUAGAUAUCGAGAGGAACACCUGCGGCGAAGGCGGCUCUCUGGGACGGUACUGACGCUGAGACGCGAAAGCGUGGGGAGCGAACAGG